rnacentral:rRNA from 1 species
GAUGAACGCUGGCGGCGUGCCUAAUACAUGCAAGUCGAGCGAACAGAUGAGGAGAUUGCUCCUCUGACGUUAGCGGCGGACGGGUGAGUAAAACGUGGAUAACCUACCUAUAAGACUGGGAUAACUUCGGGAAACCGGAGCUAAUACUGGAUAAUAUAUUGAACCGCAUGGUGCAAUAGUGAAAGACGGUUUUGCUGUCACUUAUAGAUGGAUCCGCGCCGCAUUAGCUAGUUGGUAAGGUAACGGCUUACCAAGGCAACGAUGCGUAGCCGACCUGAGAGGGUGAUCGGCCACACUGGAACUGAGCCACGGUCCAGACUCCUACGGGAGGCAGCAGUAGGGAAUCUUCCGCAAUGGGCGAAAGCCUGACGGAGCAACGCCGCGUGAGUGAUGAAGGUCUUCGGAUCGUAAAACUCUUUUAUUAGGGAAGAACAGAUGUGGAAGUAACUAUGCACGUCUUGACGGUACCUAAUCAGAAAGCCACGGCUAACUACGUG